AGGCACCAGUGGGGAAUAUUGGGCAAUGGAGGAAACUCUGACCCAGCGACGCCGCGUGCGGGAUGAAGGCCUUCGGGUUGUAAACCGCUUUCAGCAGGGAAGAAGCGAAAGUGACGGUACCUGCAGAAGAAGCACCGGCUAACUAUGUGCCAGCAGCCGCGGUAAUACAUAGGGUGCAAGCGUUGUCCGGAAUUAUUGGGCGUAAAGAGCUCGUAGGUGGUUCGUCACGUCGGAUGUGAAAAUCUGGGGCUUAACCCCAGACCUGCAUUCGAUACGGGCGAGCUAGAGUGUGGUAGGGGAGACUGGAAUUCCUGGUGUAGCGGUGGAAUGCGCAGAUAUCAGGAGGAACACCAAUGGCGAAGGCAGGUCUCUGGGCCAUUACUGACACUGAGGAGCGAAAGCGUGGGGAGCGAACAGGAUUAGAUACCCCGGUAGUC
rnacentral:rRNA from 1 species